UACGUAGGUGGCGAGCGUUGUCCGGAUUUACUGGGCGUAAAGAGCGCGCAGGCGGUCGUGCAAGUCGCGUGUGAAAGCCCCCGGCUCAACUGGGGAGGGUCACGCGAUACUGCUCGACUCGAAGGCAGGAGAGGGAAGUGGAAUUCCCGGUGUAGUGGUGAAAUGCGUAGAUAUCGGGAGGAACACCGGUGGCGAAGGCGGCUUCCUGGACCGACACUGACGCUGAGGCGCGAAAGCUAGGGGAGCAAACGGG
rnacentral:rRNA from 1 species